rnacentral:misc_RNA from 1 species
UCCGGCUUGACGCCGGCAGUCUCCUUAGAGUGCCCAACUGAAUGAUGGCAACUAAGGACAAGGGUUGCGCUCGUUGCGGGACUUAACCCAACAUCUCACGACACGAGCUGACGACAGCCAUGCAGCACCUGUGUUGCGGUUCCCUUUCGGGCACCCCUGCAUUUCUGCAGGGUUCCGCACAUGUCAAGGGUAGGUAAGGUUUUUCGCGUUGCAUCGAAUUAAUCCACAUCAUCCACCGCUUGUGCGGGUCCCCGUCAAUUCCUUUGAGUUUUAGCCUUGCGGCCGUACUCCCCAGGCGGGGUGCUUAAUGCGUUAGCUUCGGCACGGACGGAGUCGACACCGCCCACACCUAGCACCCAUCGUUUGCGGCGUGGACUAC